CAGUAGACCAGAACUCGGGUUGCGUGUGGACAUAAUGCGGGGCGGGACGAUAUCUCCGUGCAACUUGGAGCGCUUUGGCAGAGUUGCAGCGCACUUGUCGCCAUCCAGCUCCUCAUUUUCGCUGUCACCGUCCUCGCCAUCCUCUGGAAGGAUUAAGUAAGGAUAAGUAAAAUGUCAAUAUAUAUUUAGAUGUCUUGUCGACAAACCUUUAGUAGGAGCAUCUUCUGUGCGAUUAGCCACCAAGUAGUGAUACUCCAGUUCCUCAAAGUCAAAUAUUUGAUCCAUGGGAUUCAGGGCAGCUGCAUAUGCCGGAAAAGUGGGCUUACAGGCUAUUACUGCAAAAUUCAAAUAAACGCACAUUAAAUUAAACAAA